AAUCAACGCUGGCGGCGUGCCUCAGACAUGCAAGUCGAACGAUUAAAGCUCUCUUCGGAGAGUGCAUAGAGUGGCGCACGGGUGAGUAACACGUAAGUAAUCUACCUUCGAGUGGGGAAUAACGUCCGGAAACGGACGCUAAUACCGCAUAAUGCAGCGGCAUCGCAAGAUGACAGUUGUUAAAGAUUUAUCGCUUGAAGAGGAGCUUGCGGCAGAUUAGCUAGUUGGUAAGGUAAUGGCUUACCAAGGCUACGAUCUGUAACCGGUCUUAGAGGACGGUCGGUCACACUGACACUGAAUAACGGGUCAGACUCCUACGGGAGGCAGCAGUCGGGAAUUUUGGGCAAUGGGCGAAAGCCUGACCCAGCAACGCCGCGUGAAGGAUGAAGUAUUUCGGUAUGUAAACUUCGAAAGAAUGGGAAGAAUAAAUGACGGUACCAUUUAUAAGGUCCGGCUAACUACGUGCCAGCAGCCGCCGUAACAC
rnacentral:rRNA from 1 species